rnacentral:rRNA from 1 species
AGAGUUUGAUCCUGGCUCAGGACGAACGCUGGCGGCGUGCUUAACACAUGCAAGUCGAGCGAGCUGAUCCCUUUCGGGGUGAAGCUAGCGGCGGACGGGUGAGUAACACGUGGGCAACGUGCCUCAUAGAGGGGAAUAGCCUCCCGAAAGGGAGAUUAAUACCGCAUAAGAUUGUAGUUCCGCAUGGAAUAGCAAUUAAAGGAGCAAUCCGCUAUGAGAUGGGCCCGCGGCGCAUUAGCUAGUUGGUGAGGUAACGGCUCACCAAGGCGACGAUGCGUAGCCGACCUGAGAGGGUGAUCGGCCACAUUGGGACUGAGACACGGCCCAGACUCCUACGGGAGGCAGCAGUGGGGAAUAUUGCACAAUGGGGGAAACCCUGAUGCAGCAACGCCGCGUGAGUGAUGACGGCCUUCGGGUUGUAAAGCUCUGUCUUCAGGGACGAUAAUGACGGUACCUGAGGAGGAAGCCACGGCUAACUACGUGCCAGCAGCCGCGGUAAUACGUAGGUGGCGGGCGUUGUCCGGAUUUACUGGGCGUAAAGGGAGCGUAGGCGGACUUUUAAGUGAGAUGUGAAAUACCCGGGCUUAACUUGGGUGCUGCAUUUCAAACUGGAAGUCUAGAGUGCAGGAGAGGAGAAUGGAAUUCCUAGUGUAGCGGUGAAAUGCGUAGAGAUUAGGAAGAACACCAGUGGCGAAGGCGA